UAACAGUUCGAAAAGGGGCUGCUAAUACCGAAUAAUUUACCGAUAAUGCGAGUUAUUGGAGGAAAAGGUAACCCUCUUGAUAAAGUUACCCGUAGAGGGAGGGGGCUUGCGUACCCAUUAGCUAGUUGGCGAGGUAACGGCUCCCCAAGGCGACGAUGGUUAGCGGGUCUGAGAGGAUGAUCCGCCACACUGGAACUGAAACACGGACCAGACUCCUACGGGAGGCAGCAGUGAGGAAUAUUGCGCAAUGGGGGCAACCCUGACGCAGCGACGCCGCGUGAGUGAAGAAGGCCUUUGGGUUGUAAAGCUCUGUCGGGAGGGAAGAAAUGCUUGGCGGUUAAUAGCCGUCAGGUUUGACGGUACCUUCAAAGGAAGCACCGGCUAACUCCGUGCCAGCAGCCGCGGUAAUACGGAGGGUGCGAGCGUUAAUCGGAAUUACUGGGCGUAAAGGGCGCGUAGGCGGCCCGGCAAGUCAGAUGUGAAAGCCCACGACUCAAUCGUGUGAAGUGCAUUUGAAACUAUCGGGCUUGAGUACCGGCGGGGGAGAUGGAAUUCCCGGUGUAGAGGUGAAAUUCGUAGAUAUCGGGAGGAAUACCGGUGGCGAAGGCGAUCUUCUGGACGGAUACUGACGCUGAGGCGCGAAAGCGUGGGGAGCGAACGGGAUUAGAUACCCU
rnacentral:rRNA from 1 species